rnacentral:rRNA from 1 species
UUUGUUUGGGUGUACUGGAUCCAGCAUUUUGGCUGCUGAUGGCCAAUAUUGUCUGAUCUCAGAAACUAACCAAGGUCAGGCCUGGUUAGUACUUGGAUGAGGGAGANCCCCUGGGAAUAGUAGGG